UACCUCCAAACUCCUUACCCAUCAGAUCUAAACACUGGUCCGAGUGGCUCUCCAAGGGGAAGAGUAAACUGAAACAGACUUGGAUUCUUUUCUGACACACAGCUUUGUUUCAAACAAUC
rnacentral:snoRNA from 1 species